AACGGCCGUACCAUGCUGAAUAUACCGGUUCUCGUUAGAUCACCGAAGUUAAGCAUCAUUGGGCGCGGUCAGUACUUGGGUGGGUGACCACCUGGGAAUACUCCGUGCCGUU
rnacentral:rRNA from 1 species